UACAGAGGUCCCAAGCGUUGUUCGGAUUCAUUGGGCGUACAGGGUGCGUAGGCGGCGCGGUAAGUCGGGUGUGAAAUCUCGGGGCUUAACUCCGAAACUGCAUUCGAUACUGCCGUGCUUGAGGACUGGAGAGGAGACUGGAAUUUACGGUGUAGCGGUGAAAUGCGUAGAUAUCGUAAGGAAGACCAGUGGCGAAGGCGGGUCUCUGGACAGUUCCUGACGCUGAGGCGCGAAGGCCAGGGGAGCAAACGGG
rnacentral:rRNA from 1 species